GCCGUGAUCGUCUAGUGGUUAGGACAUUGCGUUGAGACCGCAAUAGCCCAGGUUCGAAUCCUGGUCACAGAA
rnacentral:tRNA from 1 species